rnacentral:rRNA from 1 species
UGCGUAGGCGGGCUAAUAAGUCAGUGGUGAAAUCUUCCGGCUCAACCGGGAACCUGCCAUUGAUACUGUUAGUCUUGAGUUCGGCUGAGGUAGGCGGAAUGUGUAAUGUAGCGGUGAAAUGCUUAGAUAUUACACAGAACACCAAUUGCGUAGGCAGCUUACUAGACCGACACUGACGCUGAGGCACGAAAGCGUGGGGAGCGAACAGGAUUAGAUACCCUGUAGUCC